rnacentral:lncRNA from 1 species
AAGAGCAUGCUCCUGACGAACCACGGAGAGGUAUAAGGCAUCACCAGAGGGCGCAUAGCGCUGACGAAGGCGAGUCCACAUCUCAAAGGCAGUAGGAAGGCCCAAAAACUCAGAGGCAAACUGAGGCAGAACACUAGCAGUGAGAACAGCUGCAGCACGGGCAUCAUCAUCAAGCCACUGGGUGUAAACGGUCAGAGCACCACGAUACACCUGAAGAGCCUCCUCAUAAGCCAAGACCUUCUCAUCAU